rnacentral:rRNA from 1 species
GACGAACGCUGGCGGCGUGCUUAACACAUGCAAGUCGAACGGAAAGGCCCUGCUUUUGUGGGGUGCUCGAGUGGCGAACGGGUGAGUAACACGUGAGUAACCUGCCCUUGACUUUGGGAUAACUUCAGGAAACUGGGGCUAAUACCGGAUAGGAGCUCCUGCUGCAUGGUGGGGGUUGGAAAGUUUCGGCGGUUGGGGAUGGACUCGCGGCUUAUCAGCUUGUUGGUGGGGUAGUGGCUUACCAAGGCUUUGACGGGUAGCCGGCCUGAGAGGGUGACCGGCGACAUGGGGACUACGAUACGGCCCAGACGCGUACGGGAGGCAGCAGUGGGGAAUAUUGCACAAUGGGCGGGCGUCUGAUGCAGCGACGCCGCGUGCGGGAUGACGGCCUUCGGGGUGUGAACCGCAGUCGCCUGUGACGAAGCGUGAGUGACGGUAAUGGGUGAAGAAGCACCGGCUAACUACGUG